UACGGAGGGUGCAAGCGUUAUCCGGAUUCACUGGGUUUAAAGGGUGCGUAGGGGGGCAGGUAAGUCAGUGGUGAAAUCUCCAAGCUUAACUUGGAAACUGCCGUUGAUACUAUCUGUCUUGAAUAUUGUGGAGGUGAGCAGAAUAUGUCAUGUAGCGGUGAAAUGCUUAGAUAUGACAUAGAACACCAAUUGCGAAGGCAGCUCACUACACAAUCAUUGACUCUGAGGCACGAAAGCGUGGGGAUCAAACAGG
rnacentral:rRNA from 1 species